AUGUUUAUAUUUUUUAUACAGAACAAGCUUGUUAACUGUGAACAUGAAGAGAUGAAAGCCGUUCCUGCAAGUGGUUCUGUGACUCGGAAACUGACAACAGCUGCAUGCAAAGGAACAAAGAAUGAGACUGACAAUUUGGAGUGUGAGCAGUUCUGUACUAAUGCUGUGAAAGGCAUUUAUUGCGUGCAACUCAUUGGGAAUGCUUAUUUUGGAAAAGUAAAUCAUCUGAGCAAUUUUCAGGGCUUGCUGCAAACUGUUUUCAACUCUCCUCAUUCAAUCCAGCAGCCAGAGGCCUAUGAAGCUCUGUCAUUUCAUGAGAUUCAGUCACACAUACCUGAAGCCAUAUAUACCUCUCAAACCGGGGCAAUGAUUGGCUGGUGUAAUAUCUCUUGUUCAGUUAUCAACGCUUAUAUGAACUACUAUAUGGGUAAGGUUUAA
rnacentral:lncRNA from 1 species